GACUCUAGCCUGGUGCCAUGAAGACAUGAGAGGGGUAGCAGAAGUGGGAGACCCCACCGGAGGGUGGGGCUGGGCCUGCCAGCCUUGAGGCCUCGGUUGAAAUACCACUACUCUUAUGUUUUGUUCAUUGGCCUGGUUGAGGGGUGACCAAACCCAGAGGGGCUCCUGCUACUGGCACCAAGGAAUGGCAGAACUCACCCUGGGGACAGUCGGGUGGGAAGUCUGACCUGUGAACAGUAAAGCAGGUGCCCUGAGGUGAGCUCUAGGAGGACAAAAACCUCCGUGAAGCAGAAGGGCGAAAGUUCACUGGAUACCGAUUCUCAGUGCCAAUACGGACUGGGGAAGGGGGACUCACCAAAAACAAAA
rnacentral:ncRNA from 1 species